rnacentral:lncRNA from 1 species
CAAAUUCAUUACCCAUGAAGUUCAGAUAGCCAUCUCCUCCAAGCGUGUGAGUAAUGAGGCGAAUCAUUUUAUGAAGCUGGAUUCCGCGAUCAAUAACUGGAGUAAGAGGUGUGAACACACUCAUGUUUGUGUACAUCUCUGCAUCCAUCAAUCGAAAUGCCAAUGUCUUAUCACCAACAAGUGCCUGGUCAUGGCUCUCUGCGUAUGCAAUAUAUUUCUCAUCACAUCGUCUGUUUGUUAAUGUAUAUACAAUAUUGCCCAUAUUCCAGUCUUCAUCUUUCAACUCCUUAAUUAUCUUUAUCCACUUAUCUGGAAUAGCCAUGGCUAGUCGAUAAUCAAAUCCUCCUCCUCCCUCUGCAACAGGACGGCAAAGAGCUGGCAUUCCAGAAACAUCCUCUGCUAUUGUUAUGCAGUCUGGAUGCAAGAAGUUAAUCAUGUGGUUGGCCAGCAUCAGAUAACACAAAGCAUCUUCAUCCACAUCUAGGCCAAAAUAUUCAUUGUAAUCCCCACUGAAUUCUUUGCCAAUCCCAUGAUCGUGAUACAGCAUAGACGUAACACCAUCAAAUCGGAAGCCAUCAAAACCAUAAUCCUCGAUCCACAUUCUCAGAUUGGACAAAAGGAAUC